rnacentral:lncRNA from 1 species
UUUAGGCUUCGGGUCCGCAGGGAGGACCGAGGCGAUAUCGUAAAUUCAUGAAAACGGAUUUGAAGCAUCGUGGCACAUAACCGAAGACAUUUAAUUUUCGGAUCGUGAAUUGGAGGCCGUUCGGGUGGUCGCGUGAGAGAUCGGGCCAAACCGGGUGCCGGGUGCCGCGGGCGGCCGAUUGCAAGUGUCGACAAGCAAUCGGAAUGCGAAAUAAGGUGGGUUGUGUUUACCGAAGCGACUAGGUUGCCCUUUAUGUCUAAGAAAUGAGAUUUCAUAUUGAUGCAUAUUGACAUAAUAUAAGAAUGUGAAUAGAAUGCAUGUUAACAUACUAUAGAAAUGCUAAAUGUAAUGCAUAAUGAAUUAAGUGCUAAAAGAAUGCAUGAGAUGCUAAGUAUGGACUAUUUUGGAUAAUGACUAUAUGUAUGUUGACAAAUCAUGUGAUGCUAGUGGUAUAUGUGCAUGAUGAUAUAUUAUGAAUUUACAUAUUGUGGAUUAUGUUAAAUAGAAAAACAUACUUGAUGACAUAUUGCCAUGUUGUGGAACAUAGUGGACAAUCUAUAUAUAUAUUAGAUCGAGUGGCAUUAAACCUAGCAUCUUGAACCUAACAAACACUUGUGGUGAUUGAUCAUAUAUAUCCUGGUGUCAUUCAUGUAUGUUAGGACCCUAUUAUUGUGUAAAUGUGAGAGUUGGACUUGAACAUUAGUAAACAAGGGUGACAAUGACAAUAGAGACAUGAUUGUCAUCAAGAAAGUGAUUGUUAAACAUAGUUUAACCAAGAGUGGCAUUGGACCAUAUAUAGAGAGUGGCAUGAUUAAAUAGGUAGAAACCUAUUGUGACAUUGGCAUUGUGACUAGUGGCUAUGAAUCCUCAAGUUGAGGAUUGAUCGAUACUCACGAUAAGUCUUGGCUUGAGGGAGGUAGCUCCCCCUCGGGCGGUGCGCUCCGGAGUUGGUCACCACUAGGCGUGGUAAAGUCCCCCCAGAAGACGGUCCCUAGGGAGGUUCGAGUCCCCCGCUAUUAAGGGAUUUUGGGUUGUGAGUUAUUGGGGUUAACAUGGUUAACCGGUAAGAUUGGGUCAAAGCCAAGUGAAUGUACAGCAUUAUGUGUUACGGGUUUGGUAUCCCAGUUAAGAGGAUUUAGGGCUGAGGUGUAUGUGAGACGUCCAUCACCUUGAGCCUAGUUUUGGUGCGGUAUUCCGCAGUUGAUUGACUCGAGACCGAAUCGGGUGGUUAGCUUGGCUAGGGUAGAGGAAAACCUUAGGAGCAAAUAACCAAUGAUGUAAAGUGAUAAGAUGUAUAAAUUAUGAAAAAGCUAUGGAUAGCAUGAUACAAAGUAAAAUCAUUUAUUCUACUUGUAUAGUUGCAUGAUUCGCAUAUAGCAUGGCAUUAUUGCAUUCGUGAGGCAUAGCAUGGUUUUAUUAGUUGCAUAAUAAAGAUAUAUAUCUAUCUGUUUAUUGAACUAACUUGCAGUUGCCUCCCUUGGACCUAUUGGUCGAGCUUUUCCCUUGGGUGGCCGUACCCACUGGGAACCAUGGAGUUGGUUCUCACCCCACGUGGUUUUGGGGUGUUACAGGUUCGCACAUGAGCGGCGCGGCGGCGCGAGGCGAGGGCGUAGUUCCAUAGUUAGCGCCCUACCACCGAGACCAGAGAUAGCGGUACCCUGAGUCGGCCUUACUUAGGGAUGUAAGAAAAUGAAAAGGAUCAAGUUGUAAUAAUAUUGUUAAAGCUAGAUUGUAUUUGGAAGCUAAAAAGAAUGUAUUAUGUAAUUGUGAUGUAAAAUGAAUCUAAUGUGAAUGAAUGUAAUAAUAUAGGAUGUGUUUAUGUUGUUUGAUACCUUCCAUUAUGCAAUUUUGAUUGAAAUGUGUUCAUGGUUGGAACUUUGUACAUUGUAUUGAUUGCUAUGCCUUGAACGUACAGGGGAGACUUUGUCCGCAGUACAGGGGAAACUCUGUCCGUUCGGCGAUCUAUCGGCGGCGCCGCGACCCGGCCAAAUAUCCUACUCUUGGUUGAGGUACCAAGGGUCACCCACGCCGGUGGGUUCCUUUUUCGAGUUGGUUAUCCAGAUUCCUCCGUGAUGUUGUACAAUCAGGUUGUCUAUAUAUUUACUUAUUCCUUUUUGUACGAUACGGAGUGCUAUACGCUAUACUUUAAGUACGUUGAUACGUUCAUCUAAUGACUAAAAUGAGAGAUAAUAAAUGGUAAGAAAUCGUAAUCGGAAAGAAAUAAGAAUCGAUAAGAAUGAACAUCGGCAAGAAAUGAAAUAAUCGAACAGUGUAAUUCGAGUAACCGCUAAGAAAGGAUUCCAAUGGAAAUGGAAUCGGUAGAUACGGUGAGCGGAGCAAGAACUCAGUUAGGUGACGCCUAUUAGGCGCGAGACAGCCGAACUCCACUUCCUUGAGAGUGUACGUGGAGUCGGAUGGUGUUGGACGGCGUGAAAUACUGACUCGGUCGGCCGCCGCUUUAGCAGCGUGUAUGCGGUGCUGUUACCGAGUUCAGUUCGCCACCAUAUUAGGUGUUUGAUCGUAUUGUUAGGCCGCCGCUUUAGCAGCGUGUGCGGUGCAGUUACCAAUCGGGGCCUGCCGCUUUAGCAGCGUGUGCGGGUUGUGGUGAAACCCAUAAGGUAUUCGAGUCCCUAAGGCCUUAGGUAAAGGUGUAUUGAGCUCCCAACCAGAAUUGGGAUACCAUAGCUGGAUGAGUCCAGGUAAUAGGAGAGGUAAGAUCCAAGUAAACUGAGAUCCAAAUUGUGAAAAUAGUGUAUUGGAUCCAAUCAAAUUGAGAUCCAAAUAGAGUAUUGGAUAUAAGAAAUUGUGAUCCAAGUAUAAGUAAGAAUAGGUAGGAUCCAGGUACUGCGAUCCAAGUAUGAGUUGGAUACAAGUUAUUGUGGUGUGAACAAGUUAGAUACAAGAAAUUGUGAUCCAAAUGUACGGUGUGAACAAGUUGGAUACAAGAAAUUGUGAUUCAAAUGUACGGUGUGAACAAGUUGGAUAUAAGAAAUUGUGAUCCCCGCACAAACCAAGCGAAGAAAAAGUGAUACCUUAACCUUAUCCUUACCCACUUAAGCAAACACCCACAAACCAUGCGCCCUCAGAAUAAGGCUAAGACUAAGGGCUCACCUUACCUUUAGGGGGUUAGUGGGGAAAAAAGUUAGGCCGGAGGAUCCGGCCUAACCUUCAACUUACAUCAUAUGACUUAAAUACAUGUAACGCUUCAAGCUCAUUCCCCUUACUACAAACCUUGGAAGGGUGUACAAUAUUUCCCAAAUUUCUAUAAAUACUUAUUCAAAUUCUCAUUUGCCUUACACCCUUCACUCUUUCACGAAACGUUAGAGCUUUAAACCGGUAAGACGUAACCACAUGGCCAUGUCCGGAGUACGACAUGGCUAUGUCGUUCGUCGUCUCAAUCGACGACGCCCUGUCGUCCCGGUAAAACCAGAAAAAAUGAAGGACAAGAAUAGAGGUGACUGGCUCGAGCUGGAAACUUGAAUAGACUUCCUACGACUCCGAAUCUCCUUCCCAAACCAGAAGGAGGAUGAAAGAGAAAGAUUCCCAAAAAGAGAGAGAUUCUACUUUAUUCCGGAAAUCGAAUAAAGGAGAGAGAAAAACUACAGUCGAUUGGUUCCUCUGAACUACCUUGGACAAACGACUCUUUUCUCUAUAGACCCCAAUUCAAUAAAUGUUAAGAUUAGAUCCUUGUGGAUUCAACCUCGAAACCUUCCAUACAUAAACUGAAGAGAUAUCAAAUUUCAAAUCCAUCACUUAAAGCCGAACAACAUCGUCGGCCAAACCUCUCGUACCAAAUUGUCGACACCUCUAGUCUCAACACUACAAAGUAGUCAAUUCUUAGCCUCUUUUGACGACUUCCUUUCAAAUCUUUUCCAUUAAUUACCUAAUUAAUGAGAAAGUAAUGCUAAUAUGGUUCAAAUAACAACUUAUAAUCCGACUAAACCGCUAUCAAGCGUCGCUCGAACGCUGACUAGUAGCCUACCAAAGCGCUAUCUAUAAACUCUCAAAGAUUCUCAAUUUAGAACAUAAACUAGGACUCGAUUUGUCCCCAGGUUCGGCAUCGGAAUAUAUUCCACUCUUAAAACGACUUAUCUUCCAUGAACUACGACAAAAUCACGUCUAAAGAUGCGAGUAAGCGUCGUCCAAGUGACGUCCUUUAGCCUGUGAAACUUGUAAUUAGGCGUCGGGAGUUCUUUAAUCUACACCACGUGAGAUUGGACUAGAAUCACCCCAAGUUCAAAGCUAAUGUAUAAUCCAUAUAACCUUUGGAUUAAAUACUACAAAUAAAUCCUAUGAACUUCUUAUAACUUAACUCAAGAAACGACUAAAAUUAUACAAACAAUCCCGUUCACACCUGGUCGCUCCUGGGAGCUAUGCACUUGUUCAACGGCAAAUCAUUCACCCAAACUGAAGUGGUCUCGUUCACUUGGAGGGAUACAAGAUAUACUAUGAUAUCUUAAUGAAUGUACACGUUUAUGUACUUGUUCAUGAGUUAUAGCUCAUUACUUACGAUAUUUGUAUAACUAGAAGAACUUAACUUACCUUGGAGCUAAUUCAUUCUUCUUCUUAGUACUCUUUCCUUAAUAACACUCAGAGUUACGUACCUGUAAUAUACGAAACAAUGCGGAAAUACUUUAUCUCUUGUUCUCCAAUCUAUGUUACCAUAACUGUUCGAGUUCCGAUUACUGUAUAUACAUGUUAAUGUAACGAAAGUACAUGUGGAACUUAGAUCAUCAAUGAUCAUACAAUGAAAUACUGACUUAGGGCUGGAUUUCCCGCCCUCAACUUGGAAUGUACAAGUCUGUACGAUAAACUCUUGACAACCCAAUACUUAAUACGAACGAACGGUAACACGAGUAAGCGUGUUCGAACACUCCCAGCGAGGGAUGUUUGGCCGUGAGGCCUCAACCGGAUGCGCUGUCUACGAACGGGCACGCCCUAACUCACGGCUUCACCUAACGGCACCCCUCACAUAUGAUGGUGCCCCGGUAAUCCGCGCCGUGUUCGACCUGAUGGAACUCAUCCAGGGAUACUUAAUUUAGUUACAUUAUUUACUACUGUCGUCUCCUAAUAGUGACUCAUCAUAUGUCAAUGUAAAAGUGAACUGUAUAAACACGAGUAACACUAACGGAAUGAUCAAGACCAAUUACUUAUAUAGACUAUCGUACGAUAUGUAAGUAUCAAGAAAUAGUAACUAUUUAAUGGUACAAUAUUAACGAAAUGUAAAAAAUCGUUUAGUAAUACUCGGAUCACCACAUUAAGCAGCUCCGACCGCCGAAUGGGUGACCCUUGAUAACAAUUAUCAAGAGUGCGGGAAAAAUAACAAUAAAAAAAGGUCUCGGUGGAUGUCCUCUCCGAUCCCUAGCACCGUUCCCUCAACGCAGAUCGAUCUGUAACGAUCCUCGAACGAUCAACUAGUGGAACGAUGAGCCCGAUGCCGGCUCCCACUACAGGGUCACGUAUCUCUCUGAUGGUAACAUGUAUCCAAAACACAUGAGACACUACAUAUACUCAUAAACUUGGUCUACAAUAUCAAAAUCAUGAAAAACAACGUGAAUGUAAGAACUCAAUCAAUGAGAAACAAGAAGACAACUAACAUAAAACCUGAAUAUGCGACGAGACUAUAGUCCUAUCCUAAAAGAUACAAAGGAAAGGAAGCUGAACAAAGAACAUCUGCGGAAUAUAUGACGUCCACAUACCGCCCAGACACGUGCGUGACCUAUACGAAGACGACCAUGGGCGCGCACUGUCUAAUAUCACCAUAGUCUCGGAUCCCAACUCAGAAACACCUGGAUCACUUGGAAUCCGACCAACCUGAUAUUCUUAUCCGAGCACUCUCUGCUACAGAUCAAUUCAAAAAUCGCUUUCAUAAAACUAAGCCAUUAAAUAUUUGAGGCUUCCCACCCUCAAACUAACCUUACACGUUUAUGAUUGAAACGUCUCCCGGUGCAACCGCCGGCUGUUGCACUGUAGCCUUCAAUCAUAGACAAUAUAAAAUUAUGAAAGCGACCUAAACCCACUAAUUUUACUCAUCACACCAAACUUAUCUCAUCCAAAAUAAUUGAUACAAAUAAAAACAACGUCGUAUCCUACGGACACUGAGCAAGAUGCCGACGACCUCGUCGGCUCCGUCGACUGCGUCUCCUUCAACCCUGAAGGCGAUGGAGGCCUAGCUCACUCCAAGCCCUCAAUGUCCUAGUCGAACGCCACGACUGUCUGAAUCACUGGGUCGUCCGUCACUGUCCAAUUGUCGUCUACCUACGGCGUGCAGCUGUCCUCCUUUCUUACUUCUCCAAUCUCCUAAACGAUGACGCCGUCUACUGUCUAUCUCUCCAAGGUCUAAGAUGCGGUCGUCAUGGUCUAUCCCUAUGCUGACGAUCUCGUGUCAGUGAUCGUGGGCCAUGGAGUGUCCGUCGGGGCUCACAACUCGGAAAUGUCCUCUGUCAUCGUGGGGGUGGUCGUGGACACUGACACUGUCCCUGUCAUAAUGGACUCUACCAUCCGCGGCUCCUCGCUCUUGUCUACUACCUUGCAGAUUUACUUAAAGCAGCAACGUUAGGAGUACAAAAACUACCUCUUUUUCGACUAGUGACCCACCACCUUUUUACCGAUGACGUAUACCUUUUCAAUAAGAUACUAUGGAAACACCUCCUCGCUAUAGCUCAAACCAAACGCUGUGUGGUGAACCUACCACUCCGAAUGUCCACCAUCCACCUAUAAGUACUCCUAGGGGCAUGACUAAACAGAUACUAGUGAACCUUCUCCAAAUUCCUCAACAACAACUGUUGGAUAAAAGAUGUCUCACACUUCUCUGUCUACCUCUCCCUAGACGCAUCGGACUCCGUCCCCCUGUCUUGUCAUCGACUCAUGCUCGCUCUCAAAAGAGCUAACGAUGUAACACAUGGGAAGCACCAAUCUCUACUACUUCUAUUCCGGGCAUAGAAACUCCAUCCGAACGCUGGACGCUUAAAAUCCAACCAAGUCCGUAGCUUGGACAGCUGAAUGGCCCUGCACCACUUGGCUCGUAACUAACAUCUCUUCCCCCGUCUCUAACAUUUUCUUUCCCUUCAACACCUAGCUUCGUUUCCCUUCUCCGGUCCCUGACUCUCGUCACCUGUCGUUAGAAAAUCCUCUGGCGGUUUCAUGGGCUCUCCGGUCGGUUCAGUCAGCUCCCCCGUUCCGAGAAAAUGUUGAGCGUCUCGUGGUCUCGCAGCAGCUGGCGGCGCAACACACUAGACGUCACCAGGGGUAAAAGGUGGCGUCACAGGAGUUACACCACCGUCCACAAAGUAAACACCGGUCCUCCCGAUAAAAGCUAGGCUCACGGGCUCUCGAGGAAGUGGUCGUGGUAGAAGUCGCAGCCGUGGACGUAGAAAACGAGGCUCAGUCCCCUGAGGUAGGCGUGUCAUAGUCAGAUCCGCUGGGGGGCCUGUCGCCGUCAGUCUCUCAAGUGUCGUCCCAAGCUCACCCGCCUACAUACGGUGGGUCUGACUCCUCCGGCGUCGCCGUGUCCUCCAGCAUCGUCCAUAAUAAAACUAAGUACUAUAAGCUCAAGCACGUAAUAAACUAUGACCACGUAGUGUAAGGAAAUAACUAGCCGACAAACGGCUCAACGUAUCGUAUGUCAAUCAUGGAUGAAACAUAGGCCCUGCUCACUAGCACGGGCUGGUAUGGGACUUACAGGCAAACGCGAGUUUAAACUGUCAGUCUGAGCCAAAAUGAAUUAUUCAUGUUUUUUUAAAAUUAGAAAGUCAAAGCUAGUGUAAACCAGUGGCUUUCGAGAUGGCUUGACAUUAGAGAUCGUCUAUUGUCAGCCUAAAAUAAAAGGUGGAAGGCCCACAGUCUUACUAUACUUUGAAAUUUAGAUCGGAGUAUUUUUAUCAGGACUAUAUAAGAGCUCAAAAGUAUUAAAAGACUGUGACACGUAAAAGACGAUUUUAUAGUCGAGGCAAAGAGUGUCUUUUAAGAUUUAGAAGACAAAAGCAAGGCUGAAGUCGUGCUCAGCAAGGGCUGAAUAUAAAAUGAAGAGAUUUAGGUUAUUUUUAUCAUAGAGUGUGAUAAAAAUAAAUAAAAAAUGAAAAUAUAGUUUUAGACUAUGCAAUGUUCGGGUUUCACAUGGCCAUGUGAAAGAGCACAGUGGCCAUUGUGCUGACGCGUCUCUGUUUUGGGCUUUCGACGAAGAGCCAAAGCAUCGUAAACAUGGCCAUGUGAAAGUUACGACAUGGCCAUGUGAAACGACAUGGCCAACGUUGAGUUACCAACAUGGCCAUGUGAAACGGGUCUGAAUCAAAAACCGAGGCAAAGCUAAGAUAAAGUGCGGUUUGUUGCGAUUUUGGAAAGGUUGAGGAAGAUUUGAAUGAAAAUUAGAAAGGUUGGAACAAGCUUAUAAUUUAUCUUGAGCAGAUUGGUAAAGUAAGCGUGCGAAAUCAGUUAAACUGAUUUCAGGUUAUAAAAGGUGGCUUCAAAGUCAUACAAUGUAUAUAUAAGAUCGAAUUAUCAGAAAACUAAUACUACGACAGCAUGUUUUACUGUUAGGUGGAGUUACACAAAACACGCAAGUACUUUUUGUAGUAAGACUCGAUAAACUUACCGUGAACCGAUAGUAUCAUCUCACCUCAUCCUCUUCUAUACACGUGGGGGUAUAGUCGUUCUUCGGUAGCUUCGGUUUGCUAAAGUCUUCAACACACACGGUUACGAGCUAUAAGUCGGAGUCAUGAACUUGCUCGGUGUUAUCAAACGAAAAACGAAAAGGUUCUCUAAUUGCUCAAGGGUUCCUUAUCUGUUUUAGGUCAUCACCUUACAGAUAGCUAACCCAGAGGCCGGGUUAGACGUAGUCUUUUACGUGCUUAAUAACCUCAUUUCCUCCUACUAUCCUCUUCUGGCACUACAUUGCAUAAGAACUACAUAGCUUCUUAUGUAUCUUGUCGUCGUUUUACUGUUCUCGCACCGCGUCGGUAUUUAACUGAUUGUUCUACUUGUCGUAUUGAUUAUAGUCCAGACCAUUAACAUUCUAUCAACUCCGACGGUUGAUUAACGGACAUUUCUCAACCUAGUCCUUCAUUACACGGCAGCCACCCAGCUUCAAAUUCUAACUCGAGCUAUCCUCAUAGUAAUCAGAAUAACAGUCAUUCUGGUCACACCCGUUCAUACAGUUUCCGUAUAAAGUGAACUCUCUCUUUAUUCGGUAAUCUAGAUAUUAGAUGAAGUUAAGGGUUCUUCAUCGCGUCUUCAGGUUCUAGAAAGUAGAGUUUAACUUAUAUCUCUAUAACAAACUACAACAGUUAAGGAAGAUUCAGUAGGGGACAUUAUUAGUAUAGUAGUUGUAUAUCGUCUUAUUAUUGAGCUGGUGCACUUCUACUAACUUGUUUGUAACGGCUCAGUACAACCGAAACCUUCUUCGGAACGACUUCUUAUCAUCUUGCUUUAAAGAGUUUGGUUCGUGUGCCGCGAACAAAUUCGGGUAUAUUUCGGAAUGCUUCGGCCGUAUGUAUUGCUCCGCCUGCUCUAUUUGGCCCUCCUCCACAGUAUAUUUAAAGAAGCACUUCUAGCGGUACGUUUUUUCGUAAAAAUUGUAGAUUAACUACUUCAAAGGUUGUAACUUAUCUACGGUGCCGGUCAUUACAUGCGUGACACCAGUAAGCUCGUUGCCCUCGUUUACAGAGGAGCAUCAGUUAGGGUAUAAGAACUCUUUUCGGAAACCGGUGGUCAAAGAAGUGCUAUAACUAUCAUUUCAAAUCGUAGUGAACAGGUAAAUCCGAGGUAAUCUCGAUUAACCAGGGUGUCUUAUCUAUAAACUCUUACUUUUAGACUAUGUCUAAUCGGAAAAACAACAAAGUCACACGCUUAUAGGUAAAGAUUAAAUAUGAAAGCACGUUUUAACCAAACUAACAUUGCCCAUCUUUCUUUUAGGGUGUGAAGAAAUCGUCAUAGUUUAAAUGAUUUAACGUAUGACUAUCAGUCUGAUUGUCACAGUGCGGGACGCUGGUGGGCGGNCACUCCCGGCGCCACCACUUCCAACCCAAGCCUUUGCAUCUCCUUUUGCAAUAGCGGUUGAGGCGUAAUUGCCAUCGCUAAGUUUUCCGCCGAUUUUCUACUUAGAGCAUCGGCCACGACAUUGGUUUUUUUGGGGUGGUAUAGUAUAGUGGUAUCGUAGUCCUUCAACAACUCCAACCACCGCCACUGUCGCAUGUUCAAUUCCUUCUGUGUGAACAAGUACUUAAGACUCUUGUGAUCUGUAUAGACUUCACAAUGCUCACCAUACAAGUAAUGCCUCCAAAGCUUUAGGGCGAAAAUCAUCGCGGCUAACUCGAGGUCGUGAAUCAGGUAGUUCUUCUCAUAACUCUUUAAUUGGCGCGAUGCAUAUGCAAUGACCCACCCAUUCUGCAUUAGUACACACCCGAGACCCACAUAAGAGGCAUCACUAUACACUACAAAGUUCUCCCCCGGGGUCGGCAAGCCAAGCACCUGGGUCGACGUCAACCUGUUCUUCAACUCUUCGAAGCUUCGAUCGCAAUCGUCGCUCCAAACAUACUUUACUCCUUUAUGGGUAAGGCGCGUUAGCGGAGUGGUUAUUUUGGCGAACCCCUCCACGAACCGCCGGUAAUAGCCCGCAAGUCCGAGAAAACUACGGACCUCCGCUACAUUCGUCGGGCGAGGCCAAUCCUUUAUUGCCUCUACUUUCUUCGGGUCUACCGACACUCCGUCGCCCAAUACCACAUGACCCAAGAAUGUGACCUCCUUUAGCCAAAAGUCACACUUCUUCAACUUUGUAUAGAGCUUCUCCUGCCUGAGUAUCUGCAACACUACUCUAAGAUGCUCUUCGUGCCCCUCUUCACUCUUUGAGUAAGCCAAUACGUCGUCUAUAAACACCACGACGCACCGGUCCAACAACGGCCUGAAGACUCGGUUCAUCAAGUCCAUAAAUGCUGUCGGGGCGUUAGUAAGCCCAGACGGCAUUACCGUGAACUCAUAAUGACCAUACCGCAUACGGUACGAGGUUUUGUGCACAUCCUUCGGCCUAAUCUUUAGUUGAUGAUACCCCGACUGGAGAUCAAUCUUCGAAUACACCUUGGACCCUUGCAACUGAUCGAAUAAAUCGUCAAUCCUUGGCAACGGGUACUUGUUCUUAAUCGUUACUUUGUUCAACUCGCGAUAUUCUACGCAGAGUCGAAGUGUGCCAUCCUUUUUCUUCACAAAUAGCACCGGAGCUCCCUACGGUGACACGCUCGGCCUUACAAAGCCUCUAUCGAGCAAGUCUUGUAGCUAUCCCUUUAGCUCCUUUAACUCCACCGGUGCCAUUCUAUACAGAACCUUCGAAACUGGUUCCGCCCCGGGAAUCAAGUCUAUAACAAACUCGACCUCCCUGUCCGGUGGCAAUCCCGGUAACUCCGCCAGAAAUACAUCCGGGUACUCGCACACUACUCGAAUAUCCCCCAACUCUGGGUACUCUUUUUGAGCAUCUACCAUGGUUGCCAAAUAGGCCUUACACCCUCCUUUGAUCAUCUUCUUCACCCUUACAGACGAUAUGGUUGCCGCGAAGUGCCUACUUUUGCAUGCUUGGUACACCAACUCUUCUUGAUCAGGCUCACGAAAAGUGAUCACCUUGCUUUCACAAUCUAUAACCGCAUAGUAUUUGGAGAGCCAGUUGGUCCUCAAGAUGACAUCGAAUCCCCACAUCCGAUUUAGCACUAGCAGAUCUAUCGGCAUAAUCCAAUCGCCUAUUUGCACUGGACACGCCAAACACUCAUUAUGGACACUGAAUGAAUAUUUUGGGGUGUUCACCGACCAGUAGUCUUCGUUAUAUGCCAUUUCUAUGCCAUGAAUGAGAUGCGCCUGUAUCAAAUACUGCUCUAGUUCUAGUGCCUUUAAUCACAAUUAUACCUCCCACGACAUCGUCGGGUACUGCAGGCUGCUGCUCCUCCACCUGAGCGGCAAAAACCUGUCCGCUAGGUGCCCUCGAUCCCUCCGGCUGUCGCGGUGAUGACGCACUCCCAGCCGAUAUCGCUGGUGGUAACCCCGAAAGCUGUCUCGGGGUCGACGGUGAUGAUGCCGCCGCCGGUGUAGACGACGUCCAGCUCGGGCACUCCCGGAUAAGAUGUCCCGGUUGGCCACACUUGAAACAUUUGUCGUCUCGCUGCGGGCAAGUUGACACUCGGUGCUCUCCGCCACAAAUGACGCACCGAGGUGGUCUCCAGUUGCUUGACUACUGUCGGGGAUACCGAGAGGGUUUCUUAGCAUUUGGCCUGCCCCCGGCACCCCCCGCCGUUCGCUUCUUGCCUUUGUCCUUUGACUCGGCGAUAGCCUCCCAUUUCUCUCGAACGUGGGCGCUACUGUGCUCUACCCAUAAGGCUCUAUCAAAGAGCUCCGCAAAGGUCGUCAGCUUCAAGAUCUGCACCUUCUCAUAUAUCCUCGGCUGGAGUGCUCGUAAUAACCAAUCAGCCCGAUCCCAAUCAUCUCGAACAACAUCGGGAACGCAGUCGAUAAUGUGGGAGAAUUCCUACUCAUACUCCCCCACCGAUCGAUCACCCUAUCUCAACUUGCGAAACUUCUCUUGUAGUCUCCGCUUUACCGUAUCGGGGAAGUAGUUUGCAAAGACUGCUCUCUUGAACUCCUCCCAUAGCAUAAGCGAAAGAUCGGUAGGUCGAUCCCGCUUGACUCGCUUCUACCACACCAUCGCCGCCUUCUCAAGACAAUGGGUGGCAAGGUACACUUUGUCUUUCUCCAAGGUAUUGAGAUCCUCGAAGAGCGUCUCUAUCGAGUCGAUCCACGACUCCACGACCGCCGGCUCUACAAAUCCGCCUUCGAAGGUAGGUGGGUCGAACUUCUUAAACUGUAUGAGAGCCGCAAACGUGCGCUCCCGCUACGCCUCUACCGCCGCACUAUCUAGAUUUGAGGUUCCCGAUCCGGCCAGUACUACCGUAACUAGCACAGCCGCCGCUGCCGCCGCUCCCUCGUCCACACUCGGCACUACCACAGGGGGCGCGAUGUCACGCUCCGGGACCGACGGAGGCCCUCCCGGUAGCGCGCACAGACCCGCCAUAUGUCUACACAUAUAAGGCGUCUGCACAAAAGCGGAAGAGUAAAGCAAGAGAAAAUCUACAAGUAGGGAUAUCUGAGCAAGUAUAUAGCUAGGUUCUAAUAUCAGGUAGAGUCAAAAGAAAACAUUACUACUAAAGCAUGAAGUAAACUAAUACAUCAUAGAUCUCCAAAUACAUAAGUAGGGUGGUGUCUAUAACCAGGUACAAAACUCUCAUAACCUCUCCCAAGAGAAAACAAAAGAGAGGUGGACCACCUAUUGCCAAAUCCCUCGAUAGCUAGCCUGAGGCGAUUCCUUUCCCGCGAUCCCGAGUCUCUCCCGAAGCGAAAGGCUCUGAAAGAAGACAUAAAACAUGGGGCGUGAGAACUAUAAAUUAUAGUUCCCGGUGGGCAAUUACUGACCUGUAUCAAAUUGCACUACUAGGCCCAAAACAUAAACAGAUAUAGAUAAGGAAAUGUAACUGCGGAAAAGAAAGCAUAUAGAGAAGGCUAUACUACUAAGCCACAAGUAUUCUGAAUGUCAAUAUAGAGUACAUCUACUCUACUGAUCCAAUAUGCCAAAACUUAAAUAAUAUGUUAUGAUGCAACAAGUAAUGCUAUGAAGUAUGCUAUAUGUCCCAAAGUCCACUACAUAUCUAGUAUGUACUAUUGAAGCAACCAAAAAUACUACAAUGUAAUAAGCGAUACUGUCAAGUAUACUAUAUGCCCAAAUGUCCAACCCUAUGCCAUAGCAUAUUAAGAGUCCAACUACUAUAACCCAGCUAGUAGUGAUUGUCAACUUGUUGUUUAAUAUUCUUGUUCAAUCUCAUUCAGGAUCUACACAGGUGUAGUCCGGCUUGUGCCGCCUAAGUGCCAGUGGUAGCUCCAGCAUUCCCACUUGAGGAAUGAGUCUAACCCUCCAGGCCCCGUAGGCUACUCGAUACCGCACGAGCGAGCAUAAGUCGCGUAGGCUAACUCCGGAGUGCCGGCUUGUGGGGAGCGACCCUCACAAGCAUGUGCGAAUGAGCACAAAUGGCAAGCAAGCAUGGUCAAUACCUCAAUAGUCCAGUCAUCAUGUCUCCAACAUGGUAAUGCAACUCAAUAGUCAUCAUGUCUCUAACAUGGAAAUGCAACUCAACAGUCAUCAUGUCUCUAGCAUGGAAAUGCACACUAGCAACCCCAAGUGUCUAGUCUAUGCCUCAAGUGAGGAUUUACUAAGUUCACUAAGUCCAACGCCUCUUUAUGGCAUUAUCUCACUAUGUCCAAAACCAAUCCAAGCCUAAUGCCGCUUUAUGACAUUAGCUUGCUAAAUCCAUCUCUAGUCUAAAUCUAAUGCCAUUUUAUGACAUUAGUUUAAUAUUUACAUACACUUUAACCUUGGUCACUUAAUGACACUAUGUCCAACCAUGGCAAAUAUGUAUUCUAAGUUCAAGAGCGUAAUCUACAUGUCAUAUCCACUUCAUGCAACGUGAUCUCAACAAGAGCAAGAAUGCUAACCAUAUGCAAGGGUCCAAUCCUGACCAGCUCUCUACUACACAGAGGCCCAAUGUACUUUAUACAAGGUAUGCACAUAUUAAGCAUUCUAAAAUUCCCAAAAUAUUCUAUUUAGUAAGAAUAUGCAUGCAUUUUCACUUUACGAUAAAUCAAAACCAUCAUAUGAGAAUUCUAACUCAUUUUGGUGAGGCCAAACCCACUGAAAAACGGAACCCUUCAUUUCGCCGAACGGAGGUGUCCACAAUUCUCCUAGCAUCCUAAAGAUGUAGGAACAAGGGUUAGACCGACCAUACGAACAUCCAAAAGCUCAAAUAUAAGCAAACUCAAGAUAAGGGCAAAACUCAUCUAAGUGAAACAAACCCUUCCCAAGCUCCAAACGGGAGCUAGAUCCCUUCCAAUCGAACCUAGAUGAAGGUUCUAAUCCGAUCAAUUGAGCUCCAAAAGUCCUAGAUCAAAAAUCCCCAAAUCAAACCCUAAAUCCUCAUUUCUAGAGUUUCAAUACAAAAAUCAUGAAAAUCAUGAUCAAAAGAGAAAUAGUAAGCAACUAACCUCUCAUGAAGCCCCAAAUAAGGAUCAAAACCUACUAGAGUUGGAGAUCUCUCCUCCAACAAGGUCAACUCCAAGCUCCCAAGCUUCUCCCAUGGUGGAAAAGUCACCGAAAGGCAAAAAGAGAGCAAAAGAGGGAAUUAAACCUCAAAAAUCCCAAGCAAAAACAAAGAAAAUCAAAGAGGGAGAAAAGAGAGCUCCCUUUCCUUCCUCCCCACUGGUUCCAAGCUAAAGGAAUAUCAAGGGUCGUGGGGUGUAUUUGUAAUGAUGCUACAAUAGCAAAAACACCCUCCAAACCCGAGCAGAUUGCAUUCUGCACUGCGUACCGGUACACGGGCCCGCGUACCGGUACACCUUCCACGAAAAGGCCAAACCCGAGCCUCGGGUUUGCUCAAAACUGCCUGUGUACCGGUACACGGGCCCGCGCACCGGUACAACCAUCAGCCCGUACCGGUACAGCCAUCAACCCUGUACCGGUACACGGCCUGAAAAAGCCACCCGAGAGUUGACCAAAAAUUCGACUUUUUGGAUUUUAGUGCAUAGCUUUAAACCUCAAUUCUCAGGAUACGAGCCAUAGGUUGGAACACUGUCAACGACCCACCAGAAAGUCUGGAAAAGCUCAGAACACAGAUUAGACACUCGAACCUUGCAAUUUGCAAAAGUCCAGUGUGUUACACGCGACAUGGUCGACACCCGCCUGGGCCGCCGCUUGCUGACGCUCUAAGGCCUCCUGGAGCCGCUGAAUCUGCUCCCCUUGGCUUCGCACAGACUCUGCUUGCUGCUGCACAACUCCAAUAAGCGCAGCCACUUGAUCCCUAAGCUUUCCGUCGCCACUCGCUCCGGAUCGCUCGGGCUCCGCACUCGGCUCCUCAGGCAUCGACCUUGUCUGUGGUCGUCAACGAGGUGCCAUCGCUUCCUGAAAAGAAGCAACUCGCAUUAGCUACAUAACCAACAUUACUCAUCAACACCCAAUUCGGCGAAAGCAACAUACACAUUUAUCCUUGCCUCAAGCGUCAUGUCGUCGGCCGCCCGACACAACACUAGAAGUAGAGGAUAAACGAAAAUUAAACUUAGCCUCUAAUCACAUUAGAGACGUCCCAACUUAAUCCAAUCACAUGCUUUCGCUAACUUUGAUCCCACGUCACUCACGUUUCCUAGAUCCUUAAGGUCUUCCAAUCCUAAGGGUCUCUAGGUCUAUUCCUAUUCUUUCACACUAGGCUCAGAUACCACAAUAUCUGUCACGCCUCGGGACCGAUACCAAUUUGGGCCGGCCCGAGCACGUCAAACAGAUGCCGAACGGACAGAGUUUUCCCUAUCCGCCCAAGGCUCAUCACCUGUACAUUUUCAAGUAGAGAAAAGCACUAGCGGAAACAUACACAAACGGCUUACACGAGAGUAAGCAAUAGCCAUGAGUGAAAGAAAGGAACUAAACAUCUACACAAGUACUAUUACAUUCAUAUUUACGAUUCUUUACAUUGCUUGUAUCAUUUCUUUUACAUCACAUUUGCCCAAAAUAAACAUUACAUUCUUUUUCUUUUACAUCUCAAUUCAUCAAAUACAAAAGAUGAAGUAAGGGAAUGCUACUACAAAAUGUAAACCCAACUCUCGUGGCCUUUGACUAAGGUGCGAUACCUUUACCGCGGUCGCUUGUCGGCUCGCUCGGUCCCGGCUCUGUGAAAUAGUGGGGUGAGAACUACAACAAAGUUUCCAGUGGGUUCGGCCCCAAUCUCACCGACUUUCCCACUAGGUCUAACUCAGGCAUAAUAGAAAGAAUAAGCAGAUAAGUAGCGAACUAUACAAAUGCAGCUAAUAUGCCUGAACAAUGCUAUCAAUAAGAUGCUCAAUAUAAAUUCAUGAAGAAUGCAUGGUCGAUGUUCUUUGUUCUUUGUUCUUUGUUCAAUCUCAAGGCUAACCCAGGGGUAUCGCCUCAUUAACUCACAACUCAAAUCUAUGAUCGCGGGCCCUCAGCUUCCUCCCGCUAGGACCGUCCUCUGAGUAACUCAACUCAGUGAUGACAAACUCUGGAGCGCGUCGCCCGAGGGGGAGCGACCACCCUCGAGCAAGGACUUAUAGCGAGUAUGAUCAAUUCUUAACUCUAAGCAUAUUCAGUUCAAUCUGUUUCUUAACUCUAAGAAAUUAUGCACAAAUGACCCUUAGCUCUAAGGUUGAAUGUCAUCAUGUCAAUCUCAUGUUCUUUGCAUUCUUUAUCUUUGACAAUGUCAAUACACUAACUCUAGUGUUCUUUACAUGCUUUACUAUCAUUCAUGUCAUACAUUAACUCUAAUGUUCUUUGAUGCCAAACUUUGAUGCUAACUCUAGCCAUUGUUCUUUAUGUCACACUUUUGAUGCUAACUCUAGCAUUUAACGUUCUUUAUGACUCACUUAUUCACUUGAUGCCACACUUUUCCCUUUGAUGUCAUACACUAACUCUAGUGUUUUAUACAACUUUAGGCUAUCUUUAGCUUUCAUUCUCAACAUUUCAUUGUAUUCAUGUCAUAUGUCACUUGUUCUUUAACUUUAUCAAGUUCUCAUCAUCAUACAUGCACAUAUAGGGUUAUUACAUUCUUAUUGGUUCUCAACCAUCUAAUGAUGCACUUGAACUCACAAAAUGCAAACAUUCACAUGUUUAUAAUCUCAUUACCCUACUAUGCAUGCAAUAAUAUACUCAUGGAUGCUCAAUAAGUGACACAUUAGACAUAAAGCGAAUUCCAACAAAUUUGGAUAGCACCACCCAUCUCGUAGGCGUACUAGGAUGCUACGGUGAUUUUCUCAGAAUUUUUAGCCUCUUAGUUUGGUACCUGCGGCAAAACGAAGCCCUAUUAGGCUAUUUUGCUCAUAACUUUACAUUAGCUUUUCGUAACGUUAAUCCGAGCACACCAACGCGUCGGAAAUACCCCCAAUUAGGUUUCUAAAGGGUCAAUUUCACUUUGGAACCCUCACAAGCAAAAGCCCCAAUUUGGGUGCCCUAGCUCAACCUAUAUCAAAACCUAGGGUUUGAUCUCAUUAGGAAGCAAAAGAAGCUUCAAUCUACUCUAGAGACUCUAUUAAAACCAUCCUUAGCUCAAUCCAAACCCUAGUUUGGAUUCUCCCAUGAGAGGGGUGAAGCUCACAUCUAAGCUUCAUCACAUAUACCCAAACCAUGAUUUUGAUCUCUUAAAGAAGCAAAAGAAAGAUUCAAAUACAUAAAAGGUUCUAUUAAAACCAUUUCUAGAUCACUUAGUUCACAUUCUAGGGUUUUACCAUGAAUGGGAUCAAAGCUUACCUCAAAGCUUUCCUUUCUUUGUGCUAGAGGUGAAGGAGAGGGAGUUGCUUCACUCCUUCUUCUUCUCCACCUUCCAUCUCCUUUUCUUCUUCCUCUUUUCCUUUCUUUCCCUUUCUUUCUUCUUCUCCUUCUUGUUUUCUAGAGAGAGAAAGAGAGGAGAGAGUGUGUGAGAGUGAGAGAAUAAGAGGAAACACAUCAUAACCCCCUCAACAUAACCCAAUUGUUACAUAAUUGCAAAUAAACCCCUCAGCUUUUAUCUUAUUAAACUGCUUGAACUGGGCAGUUUUCGUGCUCGGGGACCGGUCUCCCCGACUUGGGACAGGUCCCAGAGAGCUCUCCCCGCGGGCAACCAAGGCCCCCGCGCAGUGCAACCGGUCUCUCCCAGGGGGACCGGUCUCUCGGGGACCGGCCUCUCCCCGCAGGGACCGGUUCCCGAGAGCUGGUUUUCUGGGACUUAGCUGAUUUUUCAGCUUUCUCAAUUUCCACGCGUUCGGGGACCGGUCUCUCCCACCAGGGACAGGUCCCCGAGAGCACAAAACCUGCAGAAUGCAGAUUUUUGAUUCUUUAGCUCUCGAAAACCUCCCACAAUGCAUUUUUGAUCAUUUUAACACCUUCGGACUUUUCAAAGUGUACCAACCUCGCACUUUGGUCAAUUUGACUAAAGUUCGAUAUUUAUUUUUCAAAUUCUCGCUAUAUUACACCAAUCUUGCCGGUUAACCUUGUUAACCCCAAUAACUCACAACUCAAAAUUCCUUAAUAACGGGGGACUCGAACCACCCUAGGGACUGUCCUCUGGGGGAACUUUACCACGCCCAGUGGUGACCAACUCCGGAGCGCACCGCCCGAGGGGGAACUACCUCCCUCAAGCCAAGACUUAUCGUGAGUAUCGAUCUAAUUCCCACAUAGGAAUGUAUAGCCACUUGUCACAAUGCCACUUUACCAAUGAUAGGUCUCUACCGUAUCAUGCUUGCCAUUCUCUAGGCUACUCUUGCCACAAUGCCACUAAUGGUUAAACUUUGUUUAACAACCAAUGUCUUAAUACCAAUUGUCACGCCCCGAGCCCGCCUAUUUGGUCGGUUUCGGGCACGCCAACAGACUGUCGAACGGACAGGGUUUUUCCUGUACCGCGGACAGAGUCUCCCCUGUACAUUCAAGGCGUCGCAAUCAAUACAAUGUACGAAGUUCCAACCAGGAACACAUUUCAAACAAAGAUUGCAUAAGGAAGUAUCAAAAACAUAAAUCUACUUGCUAUUACAAGCAUUCAUCUCACAUAUUACAUUUUUGCAUUCUUAGAUUACAUCACAUUUGAUUAUUUGAUUCUUACUUCCAAAUACAAUCAAAUUAUUACAAAUUUACUACAAGUUUGAUACAUCUUGUUCUUUCAUUUUCCAUAUCCCUAAGUAGCCGACUCAGGGUGCUGCUAUCUGGUCUCAGUGGUAGGGCGCUAACUACGAAGCUACGCCCUUGCCUCACACCGCCGCGCCGCUCACGUGUGAACCUGUAACACCCCAAAACAACAUGGGGUGAGAACCAACUCCAUGGUUCCCAGUGGGUACGGCCACCCAAGGGAAGAGCUCGACCAUCAGGUCCAAAGGAGGCAAACAACAUGUUAGUCCAAUAGAUUGAUAUGAAAUCAUAAAUCGUGCAACUAACAUUACCAUGCUUUUGCCUCACAACAUGCAAUAUGCAAAUCAUGCAACUCAUAUAGGUAGAUUAAUUGAUUCUACUCUUUAUUCUUAUCCAUUCUUUACCUUUAGCCAUUCUUUACGGUACUAGCUAUUCUUUAACAUUUGCCUUUCUUUAUUCUUUAUUACUUGUCAUUCUUUAGCAUUAGCCUUUCCUUAUUCUUUAUUCUUUAUUCUUUAUUCUUUACGCUUUACUAAGGGUACUCACACCUCAGUAAUAUUAUAUGCAUUAGCCUUUCUUUCCUAAGGUUACUUUACCUUAGCCAACUAUGCCAUCCGACUCGGUCUUGAGUGAAUCAACUGUGGAUAGUCCGCGCUCUGUCCGGCUCGAGGUGAAGGAACUCUCACAUGCACCUCAGCCUUCAAUCACAAACCACAUCGCCCAGCUGGUCGUCCAGAGCUGUGUACACCCGUGGUCAGGGAUCUCCCGGUGGGAGAGGAACAUGCCGCAUACACCCGCAGCCGAGAUCCCCGAUAGGGAGAGGAACAUGCCACAUGCAUCCUAGCGCUCAUUAUUCUUGCUCAUUGACAGGCCUUGAAGUUCUUCCGGUGGGAGAGGAAUGUGCCACAUGCACCCGCGGCCAAAGAACUAUCGAGCUUGUAUGCUGCACUAGCAGCCGCUGCACUAGCAGCAGGGAUUUCGGAAUCCACUUUACAUUACUCAAGGGUUGGUCUCACCCUACGUUAUCGACCUAUCUAGGUCCAAGCCUUUACUCAACCUAUGUUUAUACAUUAGGUUCAAUGUCAUUAUUUUCAUAGCCUAGGUUCAUUAAUACUAGGUCCAACAUUCUUUAUCACCUAGGUUCAUUCGACUCUAGGUUUCAUGUCACUACAUUCACAACCUAGGUUUACUUGACUAUAGGUUCCAUAUCAUUACGUUCACAACCUAGGUUUACUGACUCUAGGUUCAAAGCCACUCAUGUUUUUGUUUUCCUAGUUGUCCACACCUAGGAAUUAUACUUAACAUGCCACUCGUGAUUAACCUAUGUUCAAUGACACUAGGUUCAAUGCCACUCGUCAUCCUAGUUAUUUAUACUUAGGAUUCUUUACAUAUGACACUUGUCAAGUUCUCUACUUUACUUAGUGUUCAUUGACUCAAGUUCAACCUUCAUAUCAUUCUAACAUAUUCUUACAUUAUAAAAUCAUGCAUUUAUACAUCAUCUCGCUCAUAUGUUUAUUUAACAUACAUCUCAUACAUGCCUUUAACAUUUAACUCAUGCUUCAUCUAGCAUUUCUAUAAUAUGUCUACACGCAUUCUUUAGCAUACAUCUCAUAUGAUUCGUUACUUGGCACAUAUUACAUGCAUUACUUAACAUCUAUCACAUGCAUUCAUUUCUUAGCAUCUUUAUCAUGCAUUCUUACUUAGCAAUUCUUAUCAUGCAUUCAUUUCUAAAACAUGCAUCUAGUUCAUGUUACAUGGCAUUUUACUCAUGCAUUUAUCUAGCAUAUGUCUUACAUACUCCUUUAGCGUUUAGCUCUUGCAUUCGUUAGCAUACUUCACAUACCUUUACUUAGCAUCUAGCUCAUGUCAUUAUAUGCAUUUAUUAGCAUCAUUAUGGUACAUUUUUACUUAGCAUUCUUAUUAUGCCUUCUUACUUAACAUUCUUAUCAUGCAUCAAUAGUGAAACAUACUACACUUUGGCAUGAAGGCGACCUAGUCGCUUCGGUAAACACAACCCACCUUUUAACGCGUUCCGAUUGCUUGUCGUCACUUGCAAUCGGCCUCCCGUGGCACCCGUGACCCGGUUUGGCCCGAACUCUUGCGCGACCACCCGAACAGCCACCAAUUCGCGAUCCGUCUGUUCGGGAGUUUAUUCCUCGACACCACGAUGCUCCCGAUCUAUUUUCAUGAUUUUUGGAGGCUUAUCCCGCGUGCUGCGGCUAUCUGUACCAAAACAGACAGUUUCGUCAAUAACUUCGCGUACACUCGUCGGAUUGUUGAACCGAGUGCACCACUGCGUUUGUUAUACCCCCAAUUAGGUUUGUAUAGGGUCAAUUGAGAUCAAACUCAACUAUUUACAAAAAUCCCUUUUUUUGGAGCCUUAGAUGCUACUCUAGCAAAAUCCUCCAUUUCAUCUCAUGAAUCAAGCAUAAACCAUCUAUUUAGCAUGCUAAGAUUCCAUCUAAAUCAUCUUUAGAGUGUAAGAACUUAACCCUAAAGAUCUACCAUUAAAGCUUCAAGAAGCUUACCUCUUUAGGUUUGCUCCUAGGUGAAGAAGAAGAUGAUGGAGGGAAGCUCUCCACUUGCUUCACCUUCUUUUCCCUUUCUUCUUCUUCUUCUUCUUCUUCUUCUUCUUCUCCUUUCCUUUCUAGAGAGAGAGAGGGAGAGUUUUGGAAGUAUACGGUGAGGGAGAGGGAGAGAGAGAGGUUCUAAUCCUCUCUAUACACUUAACCCAUGCACAAAAUGACAAUAAGCCUCUCAACAAUGCAUCUCUUGCAACAGCCCGAACUGGACAUUUUCGAGCUUCGGGGAUCGGUCCUUGCGAUGAGGGACCAGUCCCUGAGAGACCGGUCCUUGGCUGAGAGACCGGUCCCCGAAGGUCCAGAAAUCAGCCUUCAAGGACUUAGCCAAAUUUUCAGCUUUUUCGCCGUUUUCGCUCCGUUUUCGCUCGUUUGACAUCCGAUUCGUUUCAAAUCGAACCGAGACUCUCCAAACAUGUUUUCAAGCAUGUCUUCAUCAUCUUUUCAUCCACGCUAAUGCCGGAUUUAGUCCACGGUCCAACAUAGCCUUUCGGGUCCCGUUUUCGCGCCCUAUGCGCACCGAAGCACCCGAAUGCUCCCGAACUUUGCCGGAAUGAUUCCAAUGGCUUUCUAAGCUAACAUACAUCGUAACUUCAUGAAUUAGAAGUUCGGUAUAUUACACCAAUCUUGUCUCUAUUGUCAAUGUCACCUUUGUUUACUAUUAUCUUGGUCCAAGUCUUACAUUCAUACAAUCUUUAGGACUCUACUAUACAUGUCUAUUAUGGUUCUUGUCAUUCUCUAUAUUCAUCUACGUUAGAAGCAUAAAAUGCAAGAAUGGUUCUAUACAUAGUAUGUUCAACAAAAGGCGAAAUAAACAUAAAGGGGAAUCCAACGAUUCCGGCGUGCACCCCCUACCUUGAAUAGUGUAGAAGGGUUGUAGUUCGACUCUCGUGAUUUUAGGACGCCUCUUCGACUCUCGUGAUUUUAGGACGCCUCUCCUGCGACCUAUACCCAAAGUAGUGCCGAAUUAGGCCCUAUAUACAAGAUCUCUAACUUAACCUUUUUGUAACGUCAAACGAAGUUGUCAUACGUGUCAGAAAUACCCCCAAUUAGAUUUCCAAGAGGUCAAUUUACCUCGGAAACAACCGGAGGUACAAGCCCCAAAAUUCAUGCCCUAACAAUGCCAUAAUGAAAUUUCUCCUAGAUUGAUCUUAUCUCUAAGCAAAUACUAGCUUAGAAUCACCUAGGAAGCUCUCUAAUACCAUCACUAAGCCAUUUAGACUAUUCCUAGGGCAUCAACUAUGAACCCCAGUUAUCCACCAUGAGAGGACCUUGAGCUUCCAUGGUUUUCAUGGAGCUCAAGCCUCAAGAGGGUUUCUAACUCUAGAAACAAACUCAAAACUCUAAAACUUAGGGUUUAAAUCCUAACCCUAGAGCCAUUCUUGCACAAAACUCACCUUCGCCACGAGCUCACCCAAGUCCACCUUGUUGGACAGCCUCUAGAACCACCAAUUCCUCCAAAAUCCACCUUCAAUGCCUUCCAAGCCUCCUCCUCCUUGCUCUAGGGCACACUCUCUAGAGAGAGAGAGAGAAAAAUGAAGUGGAGAGGAGAAGAGGGGCUGCUGCUGUGAAGGGAGGUGUUUCGGGGUAUUUAUGGUAUGCUACAAUUGCAACUAGGCCCCCCAAAUAUCCCUAUUUGCAACAGAUUUUAAAACUGCUGCCAGACCAAAGUGUACCGGUACACGGAAUUUUGUACCGGUACAACACUGCGCAGAGGCCAAACCCGAGAGCAACUCUCUUGGUUACGCGAGAUUUGUACCGGUACAUUUUCAAAGUGUACCGGUACACUUCCAAUUUUUCUCAAACCCGAGGGCUGACUCUUCUCGGGUUGCAGGGCUGUACCGGUGACAUCUCGCUGGUUGUACCAGUACACUUUGCCCAGAAUGCAGGUUUUGCGCCAUUUUCGAUUCUUUUUCACGCCGAUCGAUGCUAAAACCUUUCUAACACCUCUUAAACUCAUUUUAUACCCUUCCAACAUUGUUGGAAUGCUAAUGGAACUUGUCCAUCCAUUUCUCUCGACAACUUUUGUAACAUACCACAUCCCUUGUGAAUCAUACCGAGUUCCGUUAAAACGAGCGGAACGCGAAAUUGAAUGAGUUAAAGUGGACCCUAAGUGCAUUGGAGUUCAUAAACGGAGCAAAAAGGGACCCGGAGAGCAAAUCUGGAAAUCUGGCUAAGUCCCAGAUUUUGAGCUCUCGGGGACCGGUCCCUGAAUGAGAGACCGGUCCCCGUGCGCGUAGCCUGCCAGGAAAUCCUGAGGCAUCCGGUCCCUGAAGGAGAAACCGGUCCCCGUGCGCGUAGCCUGCCAGGAAAUCCUGAGGCAUCCGGUCCCUGGUGGUGAGACCGGUCCUCGGGAGACCGGUCCCUGACGGGCAGACCGGUCCCUCGCUGCGCAACAGCCGAAAACUCGAAAAAUUUGGCUAAGUCCUGGAAAACCCCCGUUCGGGAACCGGUCCCUGGUCGGGGAGACCGGUCCCCGAAGGCGAAAAAUGCCCAGUCUGGGCAGUUCAAGUGGAAACAAGUGGAGGGGCUUAAGUGCAAUUGUUACAACACUAUAUAUGACUCACCCCUCUCUUCCACAGCCAUUUCCACCCUCUCACCCAUUUCCUCUCUUUCUCUCUCUAGAACCCAUGCUCUAGAACUUGGAGAAGAAGAAGAAGAAGAGAAGAGGAGGAGGAUUUGGAGGCUUUGGAGGUUCUAGGAGCUCUCCAACAAGGAGAAUCUUGGUGGAGCUUGGACUAGAGGUAAGUUUUGUAAGGUUUUCCUCUAGGGUUUGGAUUUUGGUUAAGAGAUUUGGAGCUUUGUGCUCCUUAGAGGUUUUAGAAGCUCUUUUGAGCCAUGAACACCAUGGAACCCAUGAGAGCUCAAGGUGCUCUCAUGGUGAAUCCUUGGAAAUGAUGUUUGGAGCCCUAGGGUUGGUACCAAAGGUCUAGAAACCUUGUUAGGAUGCUUCUUAGAUGAUCCUAUGCUAUUCUUUGCUUAGGGUUGGGAUCGAUUCAUGGGAAAACCCUAAAUGGCAAUAUUAGGGCUUGAAUUUGGGGCUUUUGCCCUAGGAUUGUUCGGGGACAAAUUGACCCCGUAGAAACCUAAUUGGGGGUGCCCUAAACACGUUGGACAACUUCGUUUAACAUUUCGAAAAUGUUAGAGUAUAGUUCAUGUACAAAAAGGCCUAAUAUGGCACUAUUUGAUUAUAGGGCGCGGAAUCGGCUUUCGUAAAGUGCGGGGGCCUUAAUAUUCUACACCCACACGACUCACAGAGGUGGGGGGUGCACGCCGGAAUCGUUGGAUUCCCCUCUAUGUCUAUUUCUCUAUUUUUGAGCAUAUAUAUAUAUAUACACCCAUUCAUGCAUAGUAGGGUAGCUACAUGUGGAACUUGGUUUGACUUCAUUUAUAUGCUUCUAACGUAGUUGAACAUAGAGAAUGAUAGAACCAAAAUGGACAUGUGUGAUUGGACCCUCAAGUUGUGUGAAUGUAAGAAUGGACUUGGACAUUAGAAAACAAGGGUGUCAUUGACAUAGAAACAAGAAUUGCAUUGAGAGAUGACCGUUGAAAAUAGUUUGACCCAUAGUGACAUGGUCGAAGAUAAGGCCUUGAAAGUGGCAAAAAUAAAUAGGUAGAGACCUAUCGUGAUAUUGGCAUUGUGACUAGUGGCUAUGAAUCCUCAAGUUGAGGAUUAGAUCGACACUCACCUUUCGUCUUGGCUUGAGGGAGGUCGCUCCCCCUCGAGCGGUGCGCUCCGGAGUUGGUCACCACUGGGCGUGGUAAAGUCCCACCAGUUGACGGUCCCUAGGGAGGUUCGAGUCCCCCGUUAUUAAGGGAUUUUGGGUUGUGAGUUAUUGGGGUUAACAGAGUUAACCGGUAAGAUUGGGUAAGAGCCAAAGUUUGAUUAUGAUUGGAGCAUGCAUGCAUUUCCAUUUUCGCAUUGAAAUUGUAUAUCUACUGACUUUUUCUUGCAGGCAUAGUAUUAGUUGCAUUAGUAAUGGUUACUUUUCUUCCUUUGAAAUACUUAUGCCUGGAUAGACCUAGUGGGUAAGUCGGCGAGGUCGGAUGCCGAGCCCACUGGGAACUUCGUUGUAGUUCUCACACCACUAACCCUACAGGUCCUAGCACGAGCGGGGCGGCGGAGGACCGAGGCAAGGGUUUGGCGCCGUAGGUAGCGGCCACCGGGGACUUUAUGCAUUUUGUAGUCAUUCCCUUUUGUUAUACAUGUAUCAACUUUAUUUUGUUGAUUUAGGUAUGUAAAGUGUAAACAAUCAUGUAUUUGGUGGAUGACUAAAUGUAAAAAGAUACGAUGAUUGAAUAAAAUGUAAUAGUUUUGCUUACUUGAAUUUGGUUUAAAUGAAAUCAAAUAUCAUGUGUGAUUCAUAUUUAGCUUAGAGCUUUCGCUUCCGUUGUUGCUUGCCCUCGUGCGAGCCUUCUAUUAUAUAUGCAAUUCUCUUGUUAAUUGCUUAAUUAUACGUGUUGUUAGAGCCUUGGGCGGACAGGGGAGGCUCUGUCCGUUCGGCGUCUGUCGACGUGACCCGAACCCGACCAAAUUGGUGGGGAUUGGGGCGUGACACAACAUAUGUUAGAAGUCGAUAGAAGAAAACCCGCACACGGUUUGCCUCAAUCGGAAACAACCCCUGGCGCGAGAACGAUCUCCUAAGAAACGAAGAAUCAAAAGAAGCUAGAGAGAGAAAAGGAGGAGAAUUACCCGUUCUCCAAGUCUUCUAUACAUAUAUAUUCUACUGGGGUCGAUUGGGAUAAACCUAACAACAUAAUGACCAAAAGACCCCUUAC